AGUCAGAGGUGAAGGUGGCACUCUGGGGAGAGGCUGUGCUCACCCCAGUCUGUAUUGGAUCUCCGGUAGAGAUCAGUCACUUAAGAGGCAACAACUCGCAGUCAUAUGGCUUUGCUCUUCAUACAUCACCAUUUACUGUGGUUAAGCCUGGAAGUGGGAUCCAUGCAAUUAAGCCAAGAGGUUACAGAACCAUUGGACAAGACCAAGAGGUCCUGGACUCCAAUGACAUUCCACACAUUGUGUCAUCUGACGUGUGGCUAAAAGUGUUCCCAGACAGCCCAGAAAUCCUCCCUUCAGUGAUCCAGCUGAAUUAUGAAAAGGGCACCGUAAUAGAUAUUCUGAUGCCAGAGGAGUAAUGCUCUUUAUUAUUUUCCCAGCAUUUUUAGUUAAUUAUCUAAUGUAUUUCUUUUUUUAAUCUGUUGUUUAUCAGUAAGUAAUUAGUUAAAGAUGAAAAUUUAAUAAGUUGAAAAAAAAUCAGUUAAUUAGUUAAUUGUUUUGUGGUGGUUUGUUAUUCCUGAAUGUUUUAAUAAAUGCUUUGCAAACUUUAA